CAAAGAUCAGAUAGUUGUAGAUAUGCGGCAUUAUUUCUGAGGCCUCUGUUCUGUUCCAUUGAUCUAUAUCUCUGUUUUGGUACCAGUAUCAAGCCAAAAGAACAAAGCUGGAGGCAUCACACUACCCGACUUCAAACUAUACUACAAGGCUACUGUGUCAACACUUUUAAUGUGGCUAAGUCGCUAAUAGAAUCAAAUCUAAAAGACAUAUGACCUCCCAAUUUUGUAAAUCAAUUUAACAAUUAUUAUUUAAAUACCUACUUAUUUCUAAAAAUGUCUAGGCAGCCCACAUCUCAUACUGCCUCUGUCUCUAUGCACUGUGCUUGGUUGAAUGCACACUGAGAGUGGAGGACAGAGUUGUUUACCAAACAUUAUUCCCCUAACUUGAAGGUCCCUUUGCUCUUUUUUUAUUUCUGCUAUUUUUCUUCCCAUCUCCCUGGGGAAUCCUAACAAGAUUACAUACUAGAGAGAUAAAAUCCAUUGCUUUGCUAUUGUGGCCGCACUAUGAUCCUUCUUUCUCUGGCUCCAAUUUGCUGAAGUCCCAAUGACACAGCACAAAAGAGAAGAAAAUAUUUGCUAUAAUCCCUACUUUUCAAUAAUUUUAGAAAUAAUUUCUUUUGCCUAAUUCUACCUCUUUACUUUCAUCAAUCUUUUGCUCCAAGAAAGAAAGGUGUUAUGGGGAACAGUUAUGCUCACUAUCUUUGUGAUUCCAUAGAAAAGAAAAGGAAGCUUCUGUCAGCACACACACUCCACAUAUUCAUACACACCACAGACACAAACCACACUCACCACACAUGCACACACACCCCACAUAAACACACCAGGCACAUACUCUGCCUCUGCCUCCCCAGUCUUGAAGGCAACGCUACAGGUUCCUGGCUUCUCCAUUUGUGACUGGGGAAAUUGAUUCCAGUUGAAAAAAUUGCAUAAUAAAGCUAACUUUUUCUCAUUUUGUCUCAAAUCCUUGUGUGUAUAAUAUAUUGCCAAGAAUACUGACUAACUCCAUGCAAAGAUUCCUUCAGGAAGUAAUAAUGUUGAGAUCUAGACCCCAUUAAUUUGGCCAGUUAUUGCUAAGUAAUGUGACGGAACUUUUAAUGUUUGGGGGUGGGAGUGUGUGAAUCUCACUGCUUUGUGUAUUGUGCUCAGAAGCUAAAAUAAUUUCUGUCUGCCCUCCUUCCACUUUAUUCCAUACUAGUAUCAGAAGGAAGAGUACAAUGAAUGAGGCUGCUGACAUAUUGUGGUAAACCAGAUCCAACCCUUGGGGCUUCCUAAUGUACUUAACUUAUUAAGAUUAAUUUUCUGGAAGACUCCAUCUUUUAACUGCUGUUCCUGAGUCUGCUCUUUGCUGGGUAUGAGUAUGCUUCGAUGAAACUGACACUCCAUUUCCACAUUUGUAGGAAAGCCUCUUGGCCAUAGGAUAAUGACCCACAUCCAUCCACCACAGCCACACACGGAGCUGGCAAGAAUGCAGCUCCUCACUCACAGCUGCCUCUGCAGGCAGGGCUGCGGAUGGCGCUGAAGCAGAAGAAAAAUGGAAAAAUGAAGCAAAAGAAGAAAACCUUUCCCUUAAUACCUCCCCGCAAACCUGGUUCAUCGGGCAUUUAAAGGAAGACAACACUCAGUUGGCACAUGCAG
rnacentral:lncRNA from 1 species